GAUGAACGCUGGCGGCGUGCCUAAUACAUGCAAGUCGAGCGAACGGACGAGAAGCUUGCUUUUCUGAUGUUAGCGGCGGACGGGUGAGUAACACGUGGAUAACCUACCUAUAAGACUGGGAUAACUUCGGGAAACCGGAGCUAAUACCGGAUAAUAUUUUGAACCGCAUGGUUCAAAAUUGAAAGACGGUCUUGCUGUCACUUAUAGAUGGUUCCUCGCUGCAUUAGCUAGUUGUUAAGGUAACGGCUUACCAAGGCAACGAUGCAUAGCCGACCUGAGAGGGUGAUCGGCCACACUGGAACGGAGACACGGUCCAGACGCCUACGGGAGGCAGCAGUAGGGAAUCUUCCGCAAUGGGCGAAAGCAUGACGGAGCAAAGCCGCGUGAGUGAUGAAGGUAUUCGGAUCGUAAAACUCUGUUAUUAGGGAAGAACAUAUGUGUAAGUAACUGUGCACAUCUUGACGGUACCUAAUCAGAAAGCCACGGCUAACUACGUG
rnacentral:rRNA from 1 species